rnacentral:lncRNA from 1 species
CCCACUCCCCUGGCCAACCAAUCUGUGAGCAGGAGGAGAGAGAGGGACAGAUGGGAGCAGUCCAUUCUAGCCAAGCCCCAUCCUCCAGGCCAGGGAAGGGCCUAUAAGGUGGGUGGGUGGGGUUUGGAUCUAAUGAUGUUCCAAUAUCCACACUAGAACACCUCUUCCAUUCUAUAAUGUAUUCUAGAACACCUCUUCCAUUCUAUAAUGUAUUCUAGAACACCUCUUCUGUUCUAUAAUGUAUUCUAGAACACCUCUUCUGUUCUAUAGUGUAUUCUAGAACACCUAUUCUGUUCUAUAAUGUAUUCUAGAACACCUCUUCUGAUCUAUAAUGUAUUCUAGAACACCUCUUCUGUUCUAUAAUGUAUUCUAGAACACCUCUUCUGUUCUAUAAUGUAUUCUAGAACACCUCUUCUGUUCUAUAGUGUAUUCUAUAUCACCUCUUCUGUUCUAUGACGUAAUCUAGAACACCUCUUCUGUUCUAUAAUGUAUUCUAGAACACCUCUUCUGUUCUAUAACGUAUUCUAGAACACCUCUUCUGUUCUAUAACGUAUUCUAGAACACCUCUUCCGUUCUGUAACCUAUUCUUAAAUACAUUGCUUCAUUCUAAGUAGUAUGUCACUGGACAGAAGUAGAGCAACAGCUGGGUUUUUACAUACCAACAGGUGUUUAUACUAGACACUAGUCCUCCACCAGAAACAUGACAUUGAGACUGUUCCAGAGUGCGAAUUACAAGGGGGGGGGGCCUAAAUCCAACUAUGGGGGAGGAGAGGGUCUCUAAAUAAUGCUAAUAGUAAUUUCCAUGUAAAAGGGCCCACGAGCACCAAGAGGGCCCACGAGCACCAAUAGGGCCCACGAGCACCAAUAGGGCCCACGAGCACCAACAGGGCCAACAGGGCCCACGAGCACCAACAGGGCCCAUCAGCACCAACAGGGCCCAUGACCACCAACAGGGCCAACAGGGCCCACGAGCACCAACAGGGCCAACAGGGCCCACGAGCACCAACAGGGCCAACAGGGCCUACGAGCACCAACAGGGCCAACAGGGCCUACGAGCACCAACAGGGCCCACGAGCACCAACAGGGCCCACGAGCACCAACAGGGCCAACAGGGCCCACGAGCACCAACAGGGCCUAUCAGCACCAACAGGGCCCAUGACCACCAACAGGGCCAACAGGGCCCACGAGCACCAACAGGGCCAACAGGGCUCACGAGCACCAACAGGGCCAACAGGGCCUACGAGCACCAACAGGGCCAACAGGGCCUACGAGCACCAACAGGGCCCACGAGCACCAACAGGGCCCAUCAGCACCAACAGGGCCCAUGAGCACCAACAGGGCCAACAGGGCCUAUGAGCACCAACAGGGCCCAUCAGCACCAACAGGGCCCAUGAGCACCAACAGGGCCAUCAGGGCCCACGAGCACCAACAGGGCCCAUCAGCACCAACAGGGCCCAUCAGCACCAACAGGGCCCACGAGCACCAACAGGGCAACAGGGCUUACGAGCACCAACAGGGCCAACAGGGCCCACGAGCAUUAACAGGGCCUAUGAGCACCAACAGGGCCCACGAGCACCAACAGGGCCCACGAGCACCAACAGGGCCCAUCAGCACCAACAGGGCCCAUCAGCACCAACAGGGCCAACAGGGCCCAUGAGCACCAACAGGGCCCAUCAGCACCAACAGGGCCCAUGAGCACCAACAGGGCCAACAGGGCCCAUGAGCACCAACAGGGCCCAUCAGCACCAACAGGGCCAACAGGGCCUACGAGCACCAACAGGGCCAACAGGGCCUACGAGUACCAACAGGGCCCAUCAGCACCAACAGGCCCAUCAGCACCAACAGGGUCAACAGGGCCCAUCAGCACCAACAGGCCCAUCAGCACCAAUAGGGCCAACAGGGCCUACGAGUACCAACAGGGCCCAUGAGCACCAACAGGGCCCAUCAGCACCAACAGGGCCAACAGGGCCCAUCAGCACAAAUAGGGCCAACAGGGCCCACGAGCACCAACAGGGCCAACAGGAUCCAUCAGCACCAUCAGGGCCCACGAGCACCAACAGGGCCCACGAGCACCAACAGGGCCCAUCAGCACAAAUAGAGCCAACAGGGUCCAUCAGCACAAAUAGGGCCAACAGGGCCCACGAGCACCAAAAGGGUCCAUGAGCACUAACACAGCAGCCGUGUCAAAUUGGAGGUCAAAUGAAAGCUAAGAGCCGAGCCCCCCCCCCCCAUCCUAUAAAUGAUGAAUAAACAAAGACUUUGAUUUCUGGUCAAACAGAUGGAAACGGGGUCUUAGAAAACAUCUCUCAGAAACACCCUUACAAGGUGUUAUAAAUACAGCAAUCAAUCCAAUGUAUUUAUAAAGCCAUCAGCUGAUAUCACAAAGUGCUGUACAGAAACCCAGCCUAAAACCCCCAAACAGCAAGUAAUGCAGAUGUAGAAGCACGGUGGCUAGGAAAAAAACUCCCUAGAAAGGCCCGAGAACCUAGGAAGAAACCUAGAGAGGAACCAGGCUAUGAGGGGUGGCCAGUCCUCUUCUGGCUGUGCCAGGUGUAGAUUAUAACAGAACAUGGCCAAGAUGUUCAAACGUUCAUAAAUGACCAGCAGGGUCAAAUAAUAAUAAUCACAGUAGCUGUAGAGGGUGCAACAGGUCAGCACCUCAGGAGUAAAUGUCAGUUGGCUUUUCAUAACCGAUCAUUCAGAGUUAGAGAGAGCAGGUGCUGUAGAGAAAGAGAGGUAGAGACGGCAGGUGCGGUAGAGCGAGAGAGAGGUAGAGACAGCAGGUGCGGUAGAGAGAGAGAGAGGUAGAGACAGCAGGUGCGGUAGAGAGAGAGAGAGGUAGAGACAGCAGGUGCGGUAGAGAGAGAGAGGUAGAGACAGCAGGUGUGGUAGAGAGAGGGGUAGAGACAGCAGGUGCGGUAGAGAGAGAGGGGUAGAGACAGCAGGUGCGGUAGAGAGAGAGAGGGGUAGAGACAGCAGGUGCGGUAGAGAGAGAGAGGUAGAGACAGCAGGUGCGGUAGAGAGAGAGAGAGGUAGAGACAGCCGGUGCGGUAGAGAGAGAGAGGGGUAGAGACAGCAGGUGCAGUAGAGAGAGAGGGGUGGAGACAGCAGGUGCGGUAGAGAGAGAGAGGGGUAGAGACAGCAGGUGCAGUAGAGAGAGAGAGGUAGAGACAGCAGGUGCGGUAGAGAGAGAGAGGUAGAGACAGCAGGUGCGGUAGAGAGAGAGAGAGGUAGAGACAGCAGGUGCGGUAGAGAGAGAGAGAGGUAGAGACAGCAGGUGCGGUAGAGAGAGAGAGGUAGAGACAGCAGGUGCGGUAGAGAGAGAGACAGUCGAAGACAGCAGGUGCGGUAGAGAGAGCGACGUAGCAUGUCCGGUGAACACACAAAUAAUGUUGAAGACCCCUGCAAAUGAAUAUCAACACUUAACUGUAUAUUUAGUUUUGGAGACAUUUUUCUGCCUUCUGUGAGUUUUUAAGAAAUAUUUCCUUGUAUCUUGUAAUUCUGUUACCACAACCACAAUAUUGUCUAAAUUUCUCUCACUCAUGAGGAGGAGGAUCAUGACAGUUCACAACAACAAGUAAAGGUAGACCUACCAAUUAGUUAUAGUUAUUUUACUGAUAUACAUGUUGUUUAUGAAUUAUCAAGUGAUUGAAACUUGAAAUUCCGUUACCAAAUCGGUAAUGGAAUUUUCCCCAAACAUUUGUAACGGAAUUUCUGCAAUUGAAUUUUCUACAAUGGGCAAUCAUAGUAGUAACAAACCACAUUUGGGUUCACAAGUUUGGACAGUAGAGUAUAGUACAGUAGAGUAUAGUACAGUAGAGUAUAGUCUAGUACAGUAGAGUAUAGUAUAGUACAUCACAGUAUAGUAUAGUAUAGUACAUUACAGUAUAGUAUAGUAUAGUACAUUACAGUAGAGUAGAGUUCAGUACAGUACAGUAGAGUUUAAUACUGUAGAGUAGAGUAGAGUAUAGUAUAGUACAUUACAGUAUAGUAUAGUAUAGUAUAGUACAUUACAGAAGAGUAUAGUACAUUACAGUAUAGUACAUUACAGUAGAGUAGAGUAUAGUAUAGUACAUUACAGUAGAGUAUAGUAUAGUACAUUACAGUAGAGUAGAGUACAGUGCAGUAGAGUUUAAUACAGUAGAGUACAGUAGAGUUUAAUACAGUACAUUACAGUAGAGUAGAGUUCAGUACAGUACAGUAGAGUGUAAUACAGUAGAGUACAGUAGAGUAUAGUAUAGUACAUUACAGUAGAGUAGAGUUCAGUACAAUACAGUGGAGUUUAAUACAGUAGAGUACAGUAGAGUAUAGUAUAGUACGUUACAGUAGAGUAGAGUACAGUACAGUAGAGUUUAAUACAGUAGAGUACAGUAGAGUUUAAUACAGUAGAGUACAGUAGAGUUUAAUACAGUAGAGUACAGUAGAGUUUAAUACAGUAGAGUACACAGUAGAGUUCAGUAGAGUAUAGUAUAGUACAUUACAGUAGAGUUCAGUACAGUACAGUAGAGUUUAAUACAUUACAGUAGAGUAGAGUUCAGUACAGUAGAGUUUAAUACAGUACAGUACAGUAGAGUUUAAUACAGUAGAGUACAGUAGAGUUCAGUACAGUACAGUACAGUAGAGUUUAAUACAGUAGAGUACACAGUAGUGUUCAGUAGAGUACAGUAGAGUAUAGUAUAGUACAUUACAGUAGAGUACAGUACAGUACAGUACAGUACAGUUUAAUACAGUAGAGUACAGUAGAGUUUAAUACAGUAGAGUACUCAUUAGAGUUCAGUACAGUAGAGUAGAGUAUAGUACAUUACAGUGGAGUAGAGUUCAGUACAGUACAGUACAGUAGAGUUUAAUACAGUAGAGUACAGUAGAGUUUAAUAAAGUACAGUACACAGUAGAGUUCAGUAGAGUAGAGUUCAGUAGAGUUCAGUAGAGUAGAGUUCAGUAGAGUUUAGUAAAGUACAGUAGAGUACAGUAGAGUUCAGUACAGUAGAGUUCAGUAGAGUUCAGUAGAGUAGAGUAGAGUAGAGUUUAGUAAAGUACAGUAGAGUACAGUAGAGUUCAGUACAGUAGAGUUCAGUAGAGUAGAGUUCAAUAGAGUUCAGUAGAGUUCAGUAGAGUAGAGUUCAGUAGAGAUCAGUCGAGUUCAGUAGAGUUCAGUAGAGUAGAGUUCAGUAGAGAUCAGUAGAGUUCAGUAGAGUAGAGUUCAAUAGAGUUCAGUAGAGUAGAGUUCAAUAGAGUUCAGUAGAGUAGAGUUCAGUAGAGUAGAGUACAGUAGAGUUUAGUAAAGUACAGUAGAGUUCAGUACAGUAGAGUUCAGUAGAGUAGAGUACAGUAGAGUACAGUUGAGUUCAGUACAGUAGAGUUCAGUAGAGUAAAGUACAGUAGAGUACAUUAGAGUUCAGUAGAGUAGAGUUCAGUAGAGUAGAGUAUAUUAGAGUUCAGUAGAGUAGAGUUCAGUAGAGUAGAGUACAUUAGAGUUCAGUUCAGUAGAGUUCAGUACAGUACAGUAGAGUUCAGUACAGUAGAGUUCAGUAGAGUAGAGUACAGUAGAGUUCAGUACAGUAGAGUACAGUACAGUAGAGUUCAGUGGAGUUGAGUACAGUAGAGUUGAGUUGAGUACAGUAGAGUUCAGUACAGUAGAGUACAGUACAGUGCAGUACAGUAGAGUUCAGUACAGUAGAGUAGUGUACAGUAGAGUUCAGUGGAGUUGAGUACAGUAGAGUUCAGUACAGUAGAGUUCAGUACAUUAGAGUUCAGUAGAGUUCAGUAGAGUACAUUAGAGUACAGUAGAGUUCAGUAGAGUAGAGUACAUUAGAGUUCAGUAGAGUAGAGUUCAGUAGAGUAGAGUACAGUAGAGUUCAUUACAGUACAGCACAGUAGAGUACAGUAGGGUUUAAUACAAUACAUUACACACAAUAGUUUAAUACAGUACAGUACACAGUAGAGUUUAAUACAGUACAGUACACAGUAGAGCACAUGAGUUAAGUGCAACUGUACUGUACAUUUUAGUCAUUUAGCAGACGCUCUUAUCCAGAGCGACUUACAGUAGUGAAUGCAUACAUUUCAUACAUUUAAAAAAAAAAAUCGUACUGGUCCCCCGUGGGAAUCGAACCCACAACCCUGGCGUUGCAAACACCAUGCUCUACCAACUGAGCCACAUGGGACUGUACUGUGCUGUAUUCUACUGUUCUGUAAUGUACUGUAUUCUACUGUACUGUAAUGUACUGUAUUCUACUGUACUGUACUGUAUUCUACUGUACUGUACUGUAUUCUACUGUUAUUUACUGUACUGUAUUCUACUGUACUGACCUGUAUUCUACUGUACUGACCUGUAUUCUAGUGUACUGUUCUGUACUCUACUGUACUGUACUGUAUUCUACUGUACUGUACUGUACUGUAUUCUACUGUUAUUUACUGUACUACAUUCUACUGUACUGUACUGUACUGUACUGUAUUAUACUGUUCUGUACUGUACUGUAUUCUACUGUAUUCUACUGGACAGUACUGUAUUAUUCUGUUCUGUACUGUACUGUAUUCUACUGUUCUGUACUGUACUGUACUCUGCUGUUCUGUUCUGUACUGUACUGUACUGUAUUCUACUGUAUUCUACUGUACUCUGCUGUACUGUACUGUAUUCCACUGUUCUGUUCUGUACUGUAUUCUACUGUACUGUUCUGAAUUCCAUUGUAUUCUACUGUUCUGUUCUGUACUCUACUGUACUGUACUGUAUUCUACUGUACUGUACUGUACUGUACUGUACUGUACUGUACUGUAUUCUACUGUUAUUUACUGUACUACAUUCUACUGUAUUGUACUGUACUACAUUCUACUGUACUAUACUGUACUCUACUGUUAUUUACUGCCCUGAAUUCUACUGUUCUGUACUGUACUGUAUUCUACUGUACUGUACUGUAUUAUUCUGUUCUGUACUGUACUGUAUUAUUCUGUUCUGUACUGUACUGUAUUCUACUGUACUGUUCUGUAUUCCACUGUAUUCUACUGAUCUGUUCUGUACUCUACUGUACUGUACUGUAUUCUACUGUUCUGUACUGUAUUCUACUGUAUUCUACUGUACUGUAUUCUACUGUUAUGUUCUGUACUCUACUGUACUGUACUGUAUUCUACUGUUCUGUACUGUAUUCUACUGUAUUCUACUGUACUGUAUUCUACUGUUCUGUACUGUUCUGUACUCUACUGUUCUGUAUUGUAUUCUACUGUACUGUACUGUAUUCUACUGUACUGUACUGUAUUCUACUGUUCUGUACUGCUCUGUACUCUACUGUUCUGUAUUGUAUUCUACUGUACUGUACUGUAUUCUACUGUUCUGUACUGUAUUCUACUGUACUGUAUUCUACUGUAUUCUACUGUACUGUAUUCUACUGUUCUGUACUGUUCUGUACUCUACUGUUCUGUACUGUAUUCUACUGUACUGUACUGUAUUCCACUGUAUUCUACUGUUCUGUACUCAACUAUAUUGUACUGUAUUCUACUGUAUUCUACUGUACUCUGCUGUACUGUACUGUAUUCUACUGUUCUGUUCUGUACUGUAAUGUAUUCUACUGUUCUGUACUGUACUGUAUUCUACUGUAUUCUACCAUACUCUGCUGUACUGUACUGUACUGUAUUCUACUGUAUUCCACUGUACUGUACUGUAUUCUACUGUUCUGUUCUGUACUGUAAUGUAUUCUACUGUUCUGUACUGUACUGUAUUCUACUGUAUUCUACCAUACUCUGCUGUACUGUACUGUACUGUAUUCUACUGUAUUCCACUGUACUGUACUGUAUUCUACUGUACUGUACUGUAUUCUACUGUAUUCUACUCUAUUCUACAGUAUUCUACUGUUCUGUACUGUACUGUAUUCUACUGUUCUGUACUGUAUUCUACUGUAUUGUACUGUGCUGUAUUCUACUGUACUGUACUGUAUUCUACUGUACUGUACUCUAUUCUACUGUUCUGUACUGUAUUCUACUGUAUUCUACAGUACUUUAUUCUACUGUAUUCUACUGUAUUCUACUGUUCUGUUCUGUUCUUUGAUGUCCAAACUUGUGAAACAUAGACUUGUAUGAUUGGUUCAGAUUUUGUCCCGUGAUGAUAUUCCCCCGGGGGGAGUCAUACGUUUUAAGAGAUGGUUUAAACCAUGUUUUUCCCACGUGGCUGCACUUGUCAUCCUGGGACAGUCCCGUAACUCAGCCACUUGUCAUCCUGGGACAGUCCCGUAACUCAGCCACUUGUCAUCCUGGGACAAUCCCGUACCUCAGCCACUUGUCAUCCUGGGACAGUCCCGUACCUCAGCCACUUGUCAUCCUGGGACAAUCCCGUACCUCAGCCACUUGUCAUCCUGGGACAGUCCCGUACCUCAGCCCGUUUUCAAGUGUCCCAACUUUUCUUUCUACAAAAAAAGGUAAUUUUGGCAGCAAGACGCACACGUUAAUUUAGGCUACAAGAGAGUGUAGAUUCAAUGACAAUCACCGAACGUCAUUCCACUUCUUGGUGUUUUGUUCCAGAUGUCUCUUUCCGUUCCUCUAAUGGCUGGUGCGCUGUCUGGAUGCUGGAGUUAUUUUAGAGAAAUUAAAAAUGAAAAGUUAAUAAAAAAAAAUCUUUACUGUUAAAUUACUUUUUUUUUUAUCCCCCCCCGAAUGUCACAUUAUAAUUCGCACUCUGGAUUGUUCAAUUCAUUUGAAGAAUUAGAAAUGAAUUGAAUUCAAAAUUAAUCUCCUGAAUUGAUUGGAGUGAAAUGGAAUUGAUCCCACCCCUGAUUGUAAAGCUCAACAGAUAAUUGGUUCAGUCUCUCAACAGAGUUGGUUCAGUCUAUCAACAGAGUUGGUUCAGUCUCUCAACAGAGUUGGUUCAGUCUCUCAACAGAUUUGGUUCAGUCUCUCAACAGAGUUGGUUCAGUCUCUCAACAGAGUUGGUUCAGUCUCUCAACAGAAUUGGUUCAGUCUCCCAACAGAGUUGGUUCAGUCUCUCAACAGAGUUGGUUCAGUCUCUCAACAGAGUUGGUUCAGUCUCUCAACAGAGUUGGUUCAGUCUCUCAACAGAGUUGGUUCAGUCUCUCAACAGAGAACUGAUUCCCUCUACUCUACUCUAUCCAUGACUGAUUCCCUCUACUCUACUCUAUACAUGACUGAUUCCCUCUACUCUACUCUAUACAUGACUGAUUCCCUCUACUCUACUCUAUACAUGACUGAUUCCCUCUACUCUACUCUAUACAUGACUGAUUCCCUCUACUCUACUCUACACAUGACUGAUUCCCUCUACUCUACUCUACUCAUGACUGAUUCCCUCUACUCUACUCUAUCCAUGACUGAUUCCCUCUACUCUACUCUAUCCAUGACUGAUUCCCUCUACUCUACUCUAUACAUGACUGAUUCCCUCUACUCUACUCUACUCUAUACAUGACUGAUUCCCUCUACUCUACUCUACACAUGACUGAUUCCCUCUACUCUACUCUAUACAUGACUGAUUCCCUCUACUCUACUCUACUCAUGACUGAUUCCCUCUACUCUACUGUACUCAUGACUGAUUCCCUCUACUCUACUCUACUCAUGACUGAUUCCCUCUACUCUACUCUAUACAUGACUGAUUCCCUCUACUCUACUCUACUCAUGACUGAUUCCCUCUACUCUACUCUAUACAUGACUGAUUCCCUCUACUCUACUCUACACAUGACUGAUUCUCUCUACUCUACACUCCCUUCCUCUCCUCUACUCGUCUUGCCAUCUCCUUUAUUGAUCCCUCCCGAACUGUAAAUAAAAUAAACUGAAUAGAUUCCUCUUUUGUCAUGAUCUAAUCCAUAAAGGGUUAUUAUUAAACUAAGGCCUGUCCCCUGUAGAGAGUCUCUUUGUCCCAGCAUGCACUCCAUUCUCAAUAUUGUGCUUCUUUUGACUAGACCCCAAGUAGUGCACUAUGUAGGGCAGUGUUUCCCAACUCCAGUCCCCCGUCCUCCAAACAGCCCAACUCCAGUCCUCCAAACCGCCCAACUCUAGUCCCCCGAACCGCCCAACUCCAGUCCCCCAUGUCCCCCAAACCGCCCAACUCCAGUCCCCCAUUCCCCCAAACCGCCCAACCCCAGUCCCCCAGUCCCCCAAACCGCCCAUCUCCAGUCCUCCAGUCCCCCAAACCGCCCAACUUCAGUCCUCCAGUCCCACAAACCGCCCAUCUCCAGUCCUCCAGUCCCCCAAUCCGCCCAGCUCCAGUCCCCCAAACCGCCCAGCUCCAGUCCCCCAACAGCCCAACUCCAGUCCUCCAGUCCCCCCAACAGCCCAACUCCAGUACCCCCCAACAGCCCAACUCCAGUCCUCCAGUCCCCCAACAGCCCAACUCCAGUCCUCCAGUCCCCCAACAGCCCAACUCCAGUCCUCCACUACCCCCAACAGCCAAACUCCAGUCCUCCAGUCCCC